GGAGGAAGAGAUUCCAGAGCAGUAAGCACAGCCCGUCAGAGAGCGGGCAGAGACGCACUGCGCUUCCUGAGACCGCGGCUCACCUCUCCCCUGCAUUCUGCUCUUCAAAGACACACACAGAACCUUCAGGGUGUUGAAAGGGGCCGCAAAGAUCACAGCUCUCAGCGGGGGCGCGGUCAGUUGGCCACAGCGGUGGAGUUGGCGUUGAAAGCCGGGGAUGAUGACUGCUGAGCCGAGCUCCCAGGGCUGUGCUUGAUCAGGGCAGGAUGUGUCCAUCCAGUAUGUUGGAGGUCAGAUGAAGAAACGCAUGGGCUUAAAAUGUUUCCUUUAUUAAUUUUAAGAGUAAGAAUGGAAAUUUUCAUGUAUCUUAUGCCCUCAAAGAUGUAAAGUAUAUGAGUGACAAAUAAACGGAUGGAAGUCACUGAUGCAACAUUUAGUGAUG
rnacentral:lncRNA from 1 species